rnacentral:ncRNA from 1 species
UAAACAAAUCAAGGAUUCUGUCCCUAUCUACUAUCUAGCGAAACCACAGCCAAGGGAACGGGCUUGGAAUAAUUAGCGGGGAAAGAAGACCCUUUUGAGCUUGACUCUAAUCUGGCAGUGUAAGGAGACAUAAGAGGUGUAGAAUAAGUGGGAGAUAUUAGGCUUCGGUUUGAUAUCGCCAAUGAAAUACCACUACUCUUAUUGUUUCCUUACUUACUUGAUUAAGUGGAACGUGUAUCAUUUCCUAGCCAUUAUACGGAUAUAUUAAUUAUGUCUUAUGGUAUUGGGUUUUGAUGCAAGCUUCUUGAUCAAAGUAUCACGAGUUUGUUAUAUAAUCGCAAACAAAUUCUUUAAUGAGAAAAUGCAGCAAUGUGUUUUUGAUUUAAUAAUUUGGUAUAACUCCAAUUACUCAGGUAUGAUCCAAUUCAAGGACAUUGCCAGGUAGGGAGUUUGACUGGGGCGGUACAUCUCUCAAAUAAUAACGGAGGUGUCCCAAGGCCAGCUCAGUGCGGACAGAAACCACACAUAGAGCAAAAGGGCAAAUGCUGACUUGAUCUCGGUGUUCAGUACACACAGGGACAGCAAAAGCUCGGCCUAUCGAUCCUUUUGGUUUAAAGAGUUUUUAACAAGAGGUGUCAGAAAAGUUACCAUAGGGAUAACUGGCUUGUGGCGGCCAAGCGUUCAUAGCGACGUCGCUUUUUGAUCGUUGGAUGUAGGCUCUUCCUAUCAGUGUGAAGCAAAAUUCACCAAGCGAGGGAUUGUUCACCCAUGCAAAGGGAACGUGAGUUGGGUUUAGACUGUCGUGAGACAGGGUUAGUUUUACCCUACUAAUGACAAAACGUUGUUGCGACAGCAUUCCUGCGUAGUACGAGAGGAACCGCAGGUACGGACCAAUGGCACAAUACUUGUUCGAGCGAACAGUGGUAUGACGCUACGUCCGUUGGAUUAUGCCUGAACGCCUCUAAGGUCGUAUCCGUGCUGGACUGCAAUGAUAAAUAAGGGGCAAUUUGCAUUGUAUGGCUUCUAAACCAUUAAAAGUUUAUAAUUCAUUUUAUAGACGACAAUGGAUGUGAUGCCAAUGUUAUAUAUAACAUAGUAAAUUGGGAGGAUCUUCGAUCACCUGAUGCCGCGCUAGUUAUAUUUUAAAACAUUAUUUAAUACAAUGACAAAGCCUGGAAUCAAUUGUAAACGACUUUUGUAACAGGCAAGGUGUUGUAAGUGGUUGAGCAGCUGCCAUACUGCGAUCCACUGAAGCUUAUCCUUUGCUUGAUAUGAUUC